AUCUGGCUGAUGAGUCCCAAACAGGACGAGACGUGCCUCUUAGAU
rnacentral:hammerhead_ribozyme from 1 species